rnacentral:rRNA from 1 species
UACGAAGGGGGCUAGCGUUGUUCGGAAUUACUGGGCGUAAAGGGCGCGUAGGCGGCUUCGAUAGUCGGGUGUGAAAUGCCUGGGCUCAACCCAGGAAUUGCACUCGAAACUCCGAGGCUUGAGUGUGGGAGAGGUUGGUGGGAUUCCCAGUGUAGAGGUGAAAUUCGUAGAUAUUGGGAAGAACACCGGUGGCGAAGGCGGCCAACUGGACCACAACUGACGCUGAGGCGCGAAAGCGUGGGGAGCAAACAGG